rnacentral:misc_RNA from 1 species
AACCAUAGAAACCUGCGGAGUACCUGCGGAAGGAUCAUUACCGAGUUAUACAACUCAUCAACCCUGUGAACAUACCUAAAACGUUGCCUCGGCGGGAACAGACGGCCCCGUAACACGGGCCGCCCCCGCCAGAGGACCCCCUAACUCUGUUUCUACAAUGUUUUUUCUGAGUAAACAAGCAAAUAAAUCAAAACUUUUAACAAUGGAUCU